rnacentral:rRNA from 1 species
UACGUAGGGAGCGAGCGUUGUCCGGAUUUAUUGGGCGUAAAGAGCUCGUAGGCGGUUUGGUAAGUCGGGUGUGAAAGCUCCGGGCUCAACUCGGAGAGGUCACUCGAUACUGCCAUGACUGGAGUCCGGUAGGGGGGUGUGGAAUUCCCAGUGUAGCGGUGAAAUGCGCAGAUAUUGGGAGGAACACCAAUGGCGAAGGCAGCACCCUGGGCCGGUACUGACGCUGAGGAGCGAAAGCGUGGGGAGCGAACAGG